AUUGAACGCUGGCGGCAUGCUUUACACAUGCAAGUCGAACGGUAACAGGCCGCAAGGUGCUGACGAGUGGCGAACGGGUGAGUAAUGCAUCGGAACGUGCCCAGUCGUGGGGGAUAACGCAGCGAAAGCUGUGCUAAUACCGCAUACGAUCUAUGGAUGGAAGCGGGGGACCGUAAGGCCUCGCGCGAUUGGUGCGGCCGAUGUCAGAUUAGGUAGUUGGUGGGGUAAAGGCCUACCAAGCCGACGAUCUGUAGCUGGUCUGAGGGGACGACCAGGCACACUGGGACGGAGACACGGCCCAGACUCCUACGGGAGGCAGCAGUGGGGAAUUUUGGACAAUGGGCGCAAGCCUGAUCCAGCAAUGCCGCGUGCAGGAAGAAGGCCUUCGGGUUGUAAACUGCUUUUGUACGGAACGAAACGGUCUGGGUUAAUACCCUGGGCUAAUGACGGUACCGUAAGAAUAAGCACCGGCUAACUACGUGCCAGCAGCCGCCGCGG
rnacentral:rRNA from 1 species